UUUUUUAUGUUAAGACUAGUAACAAGAACUAAACUUCUCUCACAAUGUAAAUAUAUCCUCCACAAUUAACACAUGAAAAUAAUGUAGUAACCUACAAGAAAAACCUACAAAAACCACUGUUAACCUUAUAUUAGAACAUUACUAGAAAGAUAUCAAAAAAAAGAAGGAACUCGGCAAAAUAAGAUUCCGCCUGUUUACCAAAAACAUCGCCUCUUGCAUGAUAUAAGAGGUCCUGUCUGCCCAGUGACUUAGUUCAACGGCCACGGUAUCCUGACCGUGCGAAGGUAGCGUAAUCAUUUGUUUUUUAAUUAAAGACCUGUAUGAAAGACCACACGAGAAUCACACUGUCUCCUUUCUUCAAUCAGUGAAAAUAAUCUCCUCGUGCAAAAGCGAGAAUUACCAUAUAAGACGAAAAGACCCUGUGGAGCUUCAAACACCCAACACCUGUUGUAACAACCUUACUUCCACCCACCAACAACAGUCUGAUUGUAAGUUUUCGGUUGGGGUGACCAUGGAGAAAAAACAAACCUCCAAGAUGAACCAGAAUUUUCUUUAAUUUAGAGCUACAACUCUAAAUAUCAGAAUACUGACAUUAAUUGACCCUUCUUGAUCAACGAACCAAGUUACCCCAGGGAUAACAGCGCAAUCUACUUUAAGAGCACGUAUCGACAAGUU
rnacentral:rRNA from 1 species